GUGUCACCACCCCCACGACAAACAGCACCAAGCCCAGGGUCAACAGCGUGCCCUGGGCGGAGGGCAUCCUUCAGUACCCCUCCUUUCCCAGGGCUCCUCUCACCAACGGUUCCUUUGGGAACACCAGCCGGCCUCUGCUAUCAUGACAGUUUGCCUAAAGGAGAGAGAGACCGACGUGUUGGUUUUUGAGUUUUUAUCAAAAACACAGCUAUUUCCUGCCAGUGAAACUGCAGUGAAUGCCUCCGUGACCCACCUUUGCACGUAUGCCGACUGGGAUUCCGGAAGGCUGUGUCCCGGGGACGUGAAAAGAACGUGACUGCUGUGGACAGAGUCGUUAUUGAAGUGUGGAAACUCUCCGUUGUAUUCGCCGGUGUAGUUCACGGAGCUUUUACGGUUCAUGGCCCAGAAUAACCCCAGUAUGAGCAUCAACGCACCCAUAAUCACGCAGCAGAGGGAAAAGGCUUGCAUACGGCUCUGGGACGAGGUCAGGAAGGCCGUGGAGCCCCCGGUGACGAUGAGGAACACCCCAAUGAGGAUUGUUCCAUGGUGAAGAGAAGGCAUCGCGCUAAGGGGUCGGGAGCGUUGUUUUUUCUACAAGUCCCGGUGUGCGCGCACUGCCCUUGUCACUUCCAUUGGCCAGAGUGCGUUUUCUAAGUGCGAGACUAUAAGAGGUGCAAGGCUACCGAGGUCAGUCUUGAACAGUAGUUUAUUCUAAUCGCAUUGUCCUCGCUCAAACAAAGUAAAACAAAAUAAAGAUAAGGAAUGCAACUUGAA